UGUCAGGGAUGGAAAUCGAACCCACAAUGUUCCGCUUACCGGGCAGAUGCCAUGUCCACUAGGCUACCCUGGAC